GGGUAGCCGGCCUGAGAGGGUGACCGGCCACACUGGGACUGAGACACGGCGCAGACUCCUACGGGAGGCAGCAGUGGGGAAUAUUGCACAAUGGGCGCAAGCCUGAUGCAGCGACGCCGCGUGAGGGAUGACGGCCUUCGGGUUGUAAACCUCUUUCAGCAGGGAAGAAGCGAAAGUGACGGUACCUGCAGAAGAAGCGCCGGCUAACUACGUGCCAGCAGCCGCGGUAAUACGUAGGGCGCAAGCGUUGUCCGGAAUUAUUGGGCGUAAAGAGCUCGUAGGCGGCUUGUCGCGUCGGUUGUGAAAGCCCGGGGCUUAACCCCGGGUCUGCAGUCGAUACGGGCAGGCUAGAGUUCGGUAGGGGAGAUCGGAAUUCCUGGUGUAGCGGUGAAAUGCGCAGAUAUCAGGAGGAACACCGGUGGCGAAGGCGGAUCUCUGGGCCGAUACUGACGCUGAGGAGCGAAAGCGUGGGGAGCGAACAGGAUUAGAUACCCUGGUAGUCCACGCCGUAAACGGUGGGCACUAGGUGUGGGCAACAUUCCACGUUGUCCGUGCCGCAGCUAACGCAUUAAGUGCCCCGCCUGGGGAGUACGGCCGCAAGGCUAAAACUCAAAGGAAUUGACGGGGGCCCGCACAAGCGGCGGAGCAUGUGGCUUAAUUCGACGCAACGCGAAGAACCUUACCAAGGCUUGACAUACACCGGAAACGUCCAGAGACNGGCGCCCCCUUGUGGUCGGUGUACAGGUGGUGCAUGGC
rnacentral:rRNA from 1 species